rnacentral:tRNA from 1 species
AGUAAAGUAAUAUAUUAGUAUGUUUCACUUACACUGAAAAUGACGGUAAUAACCGCUUUACUU